rnacentral:rRNA from 1 species
UGGGGAAUAUUGGACAAUGGGGGCAACCCUGAUCCAGCAAUGCCGCGUGUGUGAUGAAGGCCCUAGGGUUGUAAAGCACUUUCACUGGUGAAGAUGAUGACGGUAGCCAGAGAAGAAGCCCCGGCUAACUUCGUGCCAGCAGCCGCGGUAAUACGAAGGGGGCGAGCGUUGUUCGGAAUUACUGGGCGUAAAGGGCGCGUAGGCGGUCUUUUAAGUUAGGCGUGAAAGCCCCGGGCUCAACCUGGGAACUGCGCUUAAUACUGGAAGACUAGAAAACGGAAGAGGGUAGUGGAAUUCCCAGUGUAGAGGUGAAAUUCGUAGAUAUUGGGAAGAACACCAGUGGCGAAAGCGGCUACCUGGUCCGAUUUUGACGCUGAGGCGCGAAAGCGUGGGGAGCGAACAGG